UUUCAAAUGACUAAACUAUGCUAUUUUGUACCAACGUUUCAUGCACCCAUUGUGUGCCCGGCAGCACAUCCAUCAUGGGCAGGCUACUCUGUGUGUUUUAGUCUACUGAAUAAGAUUCUAGUUUUGCUGGCUCAAUAUGAGUCUAAAGAAAGCGAUAAACAAGCAAUGUGUGGUUUGAACCUUUUUUUUGGAAGCAUCCACAGCAUUGUCGACACUGCCUCCCACUGUCUUCCGUCACACAAAAAGAAGUAUCCGACCAGGGUGGCUGAAAAAUGAGGACCGUUCAGCCAAAUCAGGAGUGACCUAACCUUUUGACUUGGGCAAAAAAACACUUGGUCGAGGGCCAAAAGACGACUCAUCGGUAUGACAUCAUCAACGCAGCCACUGCCAGCAUGACUGGGAGGCGCCAUCUGCUGGAUCCUCCAUGCGCUUUUCAUCGGCAGGAAGUUCUACCAACUGUUUCAGGCUGCAGGCAAUCAGCAAUCAGCACACCCGAGACCGAUCAAGACAAGCAACAAAAAGACCAGCGGACCCAUGGAGCCUAUGCCGGAACGUAGUUCACCCUUAUCCGGGCGCUGGUGCCUAUCUCAGCUACAAUCGGGCGGAAGGCGGUGUACACCCUGGACAAGUCGCCACCUCAUCGCAGUGAAGUACAUAAUGAAGAUUAAAAACCAAUCACUAACAAAAAAGUUCCACACAAAAAACAAAAACUAAAAGCAGUCUUUUUCUUAAAAUUCGGCAACUUUUUUCUUGUAAAAUUGGGAACAGACCAGAAGAAGAAGAACAAAAAUAACAACACAAAGAAGAACUAGAACAAGAAGAACAACAAUAAUAAUAAGAAAAGGAAGAAGAACCUGAAGAGGAAGAUGGACCAGAAGAAAAACACGAAAAAGAACAAGAAAAAAAGGAAGAAGGGAAAGAAGGAGAACCUAAAGAAGAAGAACAAGAAAAGCAAAACAAAGAAAAAUAAGAAGAGAAAGAAGACGAACCUGAAGAAGAACAAGAACAAGAAGAAAAAAAGAAAGAAGAAGAACCUGAAGAAGAACAAGAACAAGAACAAGAAGAGAAAGACGAACCUGAAGAAGAUGAAGAAGAAAAAGAGGAAGAAACAGAAGAACCAGAAGAAGAACAAAAAAAGAAGAAGACGAGAAAGAAGAAGAACCUGAAGUAGAAGAACAAAAAAGAACGACAAGUCAAAGAAGAAGAAGAACAAAAAGAAGAACAAGAACAAGAAGAAGAGAAAGAAGAAGAACCUGAAGAUGAAGAAGAACUACAAGAAGAACGACAAGAAAAAGAAAAAGAAAAAGAAGAACCUGAAAAAAACAAAGAAGAAAAGGAGGAAGAAGCAGAAGAACCAGAAGAAGAACAAGAGAAACAAGAAAAAGAAGAACACAAGAAAGAAGAAGAACCUGAAGUAGAAAAACGAGAAAAAGACAAAGAAGAGGAAGAACAAAAAGAAGAAGAAAAAGAAAAAGAAGAAAAAUAACUAUAAGAAGAAAAGGAAUGCGAUGAAGAAGAACAAGAAAGAAGAAUAUUGCAAUGGUCAUGUCACAGUAAUGAACAUGAGACAUCAUUAGAAUGAACAGUGUACUUACUGAAGUGUACUGACCACAUGACACUCUGCACAACAAGAACUAGCAACGUGCUUCAAGUGAGUUUUGAUGAAAAACAUGAGAAGCAGCGACAGUGUGACGUCACCAAGGUGUCAAACUCCCAGCAUGCUCAGCGGUGUGUCUUCUUACAGUGACAUCAUCUGCUGGCUGCUGGCCAUCAUCUUGUCCUCGUCAAACCUCAAAGGUGGCCUUGCUUCUCCGCACGUUAGCUGCUUGUCCUCCACACUCACACCUGCUUAACGCCACAUGGAUAAACCCACCCCCCCCCCCCAAAAAAAAUGGAGACCAUACGGGCGUCAGGCAGCAAUUUGGAGGUCACCAUAGGGCCGUGUCUCAUUAGGCACACUUCUGCUUUUCCACUUAGGCACUGUGUUCACACUUAGUACACACGCUGCAGUGCACUGUCAACACCAGACUGCAGUACUGGCCACCAACCACUAGGGUCUAUGCCUGUGUUUUUCAACCACUGUGCCGUGGGAAAUUAUGCAACUUCACCUCAUUGGUCCAAAAAACAUAACAAAUAUAAUCGGCAAAUAAGGCGCCGUUGCUUGUGUCGAACUCGGCAGGGUGAGCACGUACUACUCCACGUCAGCAGGGAGUUCAUCGCUUUGUGAAAUUCAGAAUGUGUCGGGUGAGACGAAGACAAUUUUGUUGUGAUCCCUAUAUGCACCCUGGACAAGUCGCCACCUCAUCGCAGGGCCAACACAGAUAGACAACAUUCACACACUAGGGAACAUUUAGUGUUGCCAAUCAACCUAUCCCCAGGUGCAUGUCUUUGGAGGUGGGAAGAAGCCGGAGUACCCGGAGGGAACCCACGCAGUCACGGGGAGAACAUGCAAACUCCACACAGAAAGAUCCCGAGCCCCGGGGUUAAACCCUGACUACUCAGGACCUUUGUAUUUUGAGGCAGACGCACUAACCCCUCUGCCACCGUGAAACCCGUAAAAAGGUAUGUCAUGCUUAAACCAAAAAAAACAAAAAAAAACCCCGAAAGGUAAAGGAAAAGGCUACGCAAAACGAAAGUCGAACUGAACCGGCUACAAAGUAAACAGAAACAGAAUGCUGGACGACAGCAGAAACUUACGGCGUCCACCAAGUACAAACUCUGUUUCCAUAUGAGUUGGGAAAUUGUGUUAGAUGUAAAUAUAAACAGAAUACAAUGAUUUGCAAAUCCUUUUCAAGCCAUAUUCAGUUGA